rnacentral:lncRNA from 1 species
AGAAAACCCCACAGCUCCUAAGAAUUCUCUCACCUGCCUUCUGCCCUUAGGCUCCGAUAGAUUGCAAAUGACCUGCUUUCUUUCUGAUCCCGGGCUGCUGAGUUCGGACCCCUGUUGGAUAGUAAAUCCCAAGUAAGGUACCUGCCUUCGGCAGCUCUGAGAUUUCUUCUUGGACACCUAAUACCCACAGUCCUCCAGGGGCAAGAGGAUGCUAUUACUGCAAAGAGUACAGAGGAUGUACACCCGUCUAUAAUAUAGUUGGUGAUUUCCAGAGGCUGAGAAGAUAUUACUGACAAUCCCGUCAACAUGCUGUGUGACCACCGUGGAUUGUAAUAUCCAGGAAAACGUUACUGCUAAUGUCACAGGACGUGUAGACCCUGCCAUCAAAUUCGUAAUAUCCUAGCGGGACUUCACUAGUCAUUUCACAAUGCGUGUGCACCCUUUGAUAUUAUUCGUAUUGUCCUGAAGAGAUGUUACUACUGAUGUCCCAAUGCAGUUACCUGUGUGUCCCCUGUGGUACCUAUGGAAACCAGUUGUUGGGAAAUCCUUGUUAAG